UGUGACCUUACACGGAGAGCUCAGGGAAGGCCUCCCGGACGAGGGGACAGAGAUGUGAAUACGUGAGACCACAGAUCAUGUGACUACCUGGGAAAGAGCCUUCCAGAGGGCAGGAGCAGAUGUGGAGCAUCUCAGGAGCAGUCAGGAGGCCCAUGGAGCUGGCACGGGUUACAGGGUAGCGAAAAUAGAGAUGUAAUGUUUUUCCCAGCCAACCUCGUGACCCACUAAUCUUCCAUCCUUCAAAGGUCCAUGGACCCGAGAUUAAGAACCCCUCAACGAGACCUGAAAGAAGGUAAAGACGGAGCAGCUUCCAAGGGAAAAGAACAACUGGGGAGUGUGGGGACAGAUUCAGCUUCGUGAAUGAUGCAUAUGGCUCUAUAAAGGCUGAUCAGCAGCGAUGUGCCGUGGUGCCAAGUCUCUCUCAGCCAGGAACCUACUUCCUGCCGACUAGAGGGAGCUGCGGAUGCCCGUCGCCCUACAGUCCCUCAUGCAGGAGAGACGAAGAUGCCAAAGGGCCGUGGAAACGGCAGCAAAGGAGGGCCACAGAUCCGGGAAUCCAGCCAGUACCCUGCUUAUCCCAGGGCCCCACUUUCUACCACCUGGGAAGGGACGAUGACCUUCAGUUUGCCUCCACAAUCCCAGCACACUCAUGGCCAUGACCCAUUCAUCACACAGGUGACACACAGGCCGAGCACUUCACUUCCUACAGGUUUACAGCAAGAACAGAAUCCCAUGAGAGAAUGUAAGGGGGAAAGGCGUCCUGGCCUGAAUGUCUCCUCCCCACAGCCAUAGGGAUUGGCUCUGGGAGAGACACGUGAUCCAAGCACGGCCAAUCAGAGUGGGCCCUGGACAUUUUGCUGCAAUUUCUGGGGGAAACAGAUGGGUGGUAAGGCAGGGGGACUGCUGAGGACUUCUUUGCCACCUGAGGGUGAGCAGAGGUGGGGCAGGAGGAAGGGGCCGAGAAUUAAGUUAAACCUGAGAAAGGCAGAGUCUGGAAAUAAAGGGGUAAAUUCCUGAUGAGAAUACCUGAGUACUGACUCCAGCUGGGCCAGCUCUGGGAUUUUUCAGGUCCCUGAACCAUUAACUUCCCUUUGCAGUUUAAGUCAAUUUGAGUUGGGGAGGUUCUGUCGCUUACAACAAACUAACAGCACAGGAAGG